rnacentral:rRNA from 1 species
UACGUAGGGUGCAAGCGUUGUCCGGAAUUAUUGGGCGUAAAGAGCUCGUAGGCGGUCUGUCGCGUCGGCUGUGAAAACCCGGGGCUCAACCUCGCGCCUGCAGUGGGUACGGGCAGACUAGAGUGCGGUAGGGGAGAUUGGAAUUCCUGGUGUAGCGGUGGAAUGCGCAGAUAUCAGGAGGAACACCGAUGGCGAAGGCAGAUCUCUGGGCCGUAACUGACGCUGAGGAGCGAAAGCGUGGGGAGCGAACAGG